UACAGAGGUCUCAAGCGUUGUUCGGAUUCAUUGGGCGUAAAGGGUGCGUAGGUGGCGCCGUAAGUCGGGUGUGAAAUUUCGGAGCUUAACUCCGAAACUGCAUUCGAUACUGCGGUGCUUGAGGACUGGAGAGGAGACUGGAAUUCAUGGUGUAGCAGUGAAAUGCGUAGAGAUCAUGAGGAAGACCAGUGGCGAAGGCGGGUCUCUGGGCCGAUACUGACGCUGAGGAGCGAAAGCGUGGGGGAGCAAACAGG
rnacentral:rRNA from 1 species